rnacentral:rRNA from 1 species
GAUGAACGCUGGCGGCGUGCCUAAUACAUGCAAGUCGAGCGAAUGGAUUGAGAGCUUGCUCUCAAGAAGUUAGCGGCGGACGGGUGAGUAACACGUGGGUAACCUGCCCAUAAGACUGGGAUAACUCCGGGAAACCGGGGCUAAUACCGGAUAACAUUUUGUAACUGCAUGGUUCGAAAUUGAAAGGCGGCUUCGGCUGUCACUUAUGGAUGGACCCGCGUCGCAUUAGCUAGUUGGUGAGGUAACGGCUCACCAAGGCAACGAUGCGUAGCCGACCUGAGAGGGUGAUCGGCCACACUGGGACUGAGACACGGCCCAGACUCCUACGGGAGGCAGCAGUAGGGAAUCUUCCGCAAUGGACGAAAGUCUGACGGAGCAACGCCGCGUGAGUGAUGAAGGCUUUCGGGUCGUAAAACUACUGUUGUUAGGGAAGAACAAGUGCUAGUUGAAUAAGCUGGCACCUUGACGGUACCUAACCAGAAAGCCACGGCUAACUACGUG